rnacentral:lncRNA from 12 species
UUAUUAUCUAUGCAAGACUUUGGAACAAAGUGGGAAUUUAAUCCACAUUCAUUCUGUCAUUUCAGUGGCAGUAUUCAAGAAAUCAGUCUCGAUGUUCAAGCCCAUACCCCAAAAAAGGUCAGUAUCUCUACAAACCUUGAUGACAAUGACAUCCAUGGGAGGAAAUAGAUGAUCACAAGAAGAUACUGAAACUCACGGAAUUGGGAACUGAUUCAUCUCUCUCCUUUCACUGACUCCUGCAGUUGUCACUCUUCUCAAUGUAUCAGAAUUUGAGUACUUGUUAUGAUGAUUUUACCAAAGCAUUAGUGAUAACUUACAAG